rnacentral:rRNA from 1 species
UACGUAGGGUGCAAGCGUUGUCCGGAAUUAUUGGGCGUAAAGAGCUCGUAGGCGGUCUGUUGCGUCCGCUGUGAAAACUCGGGGCUUAACCCCGAGCCUGCAGUGGAUACGGGCAGACUAGAGGUAGGUAGGGGAGAAUGGAAUUCCCGGUGUAGCGGUGAAAUGCGCAGAUAUCGAGAGGAACACCGGUGGCGAAGGCGGUUCUCUGGGCCUUACCUGACGCUGAGGAGCGAAAGCGUGGGGAGCGAACAGG